UUUCAGGGUCGUUGGUGAUUGCACUGUCCAUCCAAGUCCCGCUAUCUUAUCUUCCUUUCGCCAUGCGGCAUCAGUGCGAAUCACUAUUGUCGGCGCAGAUGAAGUGUUACUCGCAGGUGCAGUAAACGUUUGUGUAGAAGAGCCCUUCUAAUUAACUUGUGUUUGUUCCCAUUCUUUUGCUGCUUUGAUUGCUAGUGUGAGAUCCUUUGUAGGUGUAUUAGAGCUCCCGUUGAAGACAACUCUGUUGCGUUCCUUCCAUAUAGUCCAGAGGAUCCAUGGGAAGAUGGGGCUGGAUACUAGGCCAGUUGGUGGGAGGCAAGGCUUUGCGCACAGGGCGGUCCAUCUCUCUUCUAAAUCUACUAUUCCUCUAGGAUCAAACGCUGUGACAAAAGGGGCAGCUAGCCACACCUGUUGAGCAAAAGGGCAAUGAAAUAGUAGAUGAGUAAUAGAUUCAGAAGCUCCACAACGUUUAC
rnacentral:lncRNA from 1 species